UACGAAGGGGGCUAGCGUUGCUCGGAAUUACUGGGCGUAAAGCGCACGUAGGCGGCUCUUUAAGUCGGGGGUGAAAUCCUGGAGCUCAACUCCAGAACUGCCUUCGAUACUGGAGAGCUUGAGUCCGGGAGAGGUGAGUGGAACUGCGAGUGUAGAGGUGAAAUUCGUAGAUAUUCGCAAGAACACUAGUGGCGAAGGCGGCUCACUGGCCCGGUACUGACGCUGAGGUGCGAAAGCGUGGGGAGCAAACAGG
rnacentral:rRNA from 1 species